rnacentral:rRNA from 1 species
UACGUAGGGUGCAAGCGUUAAUCGGAAUUACUGGGCGUAAAGCGUGCGCAGGCGGUUGUGCAAGACAGGUGUGAAAUCCCCCGGGCUUAACCUGGGAACUGCAUUUGUGACUGCAUAGCUAGAGUACGGUAGAGGGGGAUGGAAUUCCGCGUGUAGCAGUGAAUGCGUAGAUAUGCGGAGGAACACCGAUGGCGAAGGCAACUCCCCUGGCCUGCACUGACGCUCAUGCACGAAAGCGUGGGGAGCAAACAGG